GCAGGUUUGUUUCCAUUCAGUGGGUGCCUUGUGCUACACUGAUGAUUUCUGGGAUCUCAGCUCAGAAGCUGGUUGGUGAUGGCUGGCUUUUUCUUCUGGUCUCCCAUGUGGAGAACAUAGCGAGCUUGAAUCAUCUGGUGUGCUCUUCAAGCUGGAUCAUCAGUAGCUGAGUUUGAGGGUGGCAAGGAUCGAACUGUGUUACCGAGGUAGGAAAUCCUUCUUUUGUGGCAGGGGUGACUGCAUCACCUCGGGUGGUGAUUCCCUAGGGAUUUAAAUAGACACCCUCAACAGAAGGUCCUUCCUUCUAGCAUUAGUUCCGCCCUUCCACAAGCUUUUCCUUCCAGACACUCUCUCAUCCUUGCAGGUAGCUGUUGAGAGAUGACUUCUGUUUAUCUCUGCAUUAGCCAAUGGAAUUACCUGCCUUCUAGGAAGUUUCCAUUUUCAUAACUUCCUCGACAACUGAGCGUCAAAACACGUUGGAAAGCAAGUUUCAGGUGUCCUGGCAGAAAAUUCCAACCAACACUUGAAGCUCCGUUCUUUUUGGCCUCUGUCUUGAUUCUCCGAUGGGUCUCUGGAUUCUCUCUGACCUGAUUUUCAAGGUCUUUCAGCUCCCGAAAAGCCAUUAGUAGACACUCUUACCACCUGUUCCUUCUCUAAAUCCAAGGUGUUGAGAUGGGAAGGGUCCUUGCUGUUGAAUUUCUUGUUGCAUUCAUGAGGGCGAUAAGCAGUGAAGAGAGAGAUUCUUAAGAAACAUCUAAGGGGGUUUAGAUAAAGAGAGAAAGUUGGAGGGAUGCAUAGACUACAAGAAAGAAAGAAAAAAUGUGGCACGGACACAGCUUGAAUUUAGAAUUUAACCCAUCUCCAAGAAUGUCUACUAAAGUUGUACUAGCUUUUGCUAGUUGAAAAAAAAUGUACUGCAUAUUUCAAUGGUGGAGAUCACCUUACACCAAGGUGUAAGUUUGAACUGAAGCUUUUUUAGCCGAGCCUCAUUUGAUGACGUAAAUAAGAACCAAACUAGGAAGAAAACCGGCACCUUUGAGAAAUUUGAUGCUGUUGAAGAAAGAAAAGCAAAGGAGAAGUGAAACUAAACUUCCUAUCACGGGCAGUUGGCCGAAAGACACAACUUGGCAUGCAAAGGAUGUGACGAAGAGCAGCUGUGAAAAAUCUUGCUGGGAACCACGGGGAGAUGUGGCUCCUUCCCGUAGGCUAGAGUGACUCAUACAAAACUGGCUGUGAGCUCAGCACUUCCUGAAUCACAUGUGGAGCAGAGAUGGAGACAGAGGAAUUGAUCGGGGAAAAUCCCAGCAAGCAACAGAGCUGGAUGGACGUCAUCUUCUCCAAGCACCUGCUGCUCUUCUAGGAUGAGCAUCCGAAGAAGGAGAAGGGAGUUGUUUUCUUCCGUGGUUGGUGACACAGCUCCUGAACUCUUCAACGGCUUCAACUUUUGCAUGCCGAAGAGGCGUUCUCUGUGGAAUUGAAGUAGCAGUGUCAACAUCUCAAGAUGGGUGGCUACCAAGAAAGCAGAGAAGAUGCGAGAAAGAAGCUGUACAAGAAGCAAAGGCCAGCAAGGGGACAUUUAACGGAUACAGAAGGGGACAUUCCUCCACUAUUCAGAUGGCCUCAUCCCAAGUUAUGACCAUGUGAAAGUUGU